AACGUAGGACACAAGCGUUAUCCGGAAUUACUGGGCGUAAAGGGAGUGCAGGCGGUUGCGUAAGUUCGGCGUGAAAGACUUCGGCUAAACCGGGGGAGGUCGUCUGAUACUGCGUAACUAGAGUGUGGUAGAGGCGUGUAGAAUUCCGGGUGUAGUGGUGAAAUGCGUAGAGAUCCGGAGGAAUACCAGUGGCGAAGGCGGCACGCUGGGCCAUAACUGACGCUAAGACUCGAAAGCAUGGGUAGCGAACGGG
rnacentral:rRNA from 1 species